AGUGAACGCUGGCGGUAGGCCUAACACAUGCAAGUCGAACGGCAGCACAGUAAGAGCUUGCUCUUACGGGUGGCGAGUGGCGGACGGGUGAGGAAUACAUCGGAAUCUACUUUUUCGUGGGGGAUAACGUAGGGAAACUUACGCUAAUACCGCAUACGACCUACGGGUGAAAGCAGGGGAUCUUCGGACCUUUCGCGAUUGAAUGAGCCGAUGUCGGAUUAGCUAGUUGGCGGGGUAAAGGCCCACCAAGGCGACGAUCCGUAGCUGGUCUGAGUGGAUGAUCAGCCACACUGGAACUGAGACACGGUCCAGACUCCUACGGGAGGCAGCAGUGGGGAAUAUUGGACAAUGGGCGCAAGCCUGAUCCAGCCAUACCGAGUGGGUGAAGAAGGCCUUCGGGUUGUAAAGCCCUUUUGUUGGGAAAGAAAAGCAGCAGGUUAAUACCCCGCUGUUCUGACGGUACCCAAAGAAUAAGCACCGGCUAACUUCGUG
rnacentral:rRNA from 1 species